UUUUGGCCGUUGCAUCUCUCAAAAAAACUCAGACCAAACGCUCUGUCUUCACUCAGAUAAGGAAGAAGAAGAAGAAGCAGACUCAAACGUCAAAGCCAACAAUGGCGAUUUCUACUUUAACACUCACACAAUCUCUCUAUACACGUUCCUUCAGGCCCAUUACUCCUACAAUCAUCUCUUCUUCUUCUUCUUCUUCUUCGUCGUCGUCAUUCGCGUGUCUCUGUUCUUCUUCCUCUGAUUGCGAGCCGAAACUUUCUGCGAAGAAACGCGUUUUAGGAGUGGGUUUAGGGCUCUUAGCUGCUUCGAUUCUCUCUCUAACGCCUCUGGACGCAGACGCCACGAGGAUUGAGUACUACGCCACUGUUGGAGAUCCUCUCUGCGAAUUCAGCUACGCAAAAUCGGGACUUGGAUUUUGCGAUCUCGAUGUUGGAUUCGGUGAUGAAGCCCCUCGUGGCGUACUCGUCAAUAUCCAUUACACGGCGAGGUUUGCGGAUGGAACGUUGUUUGACAGUAGCUAUAAGCGAGCGAGACCACUUACUAUGCGAAUUGGGGUCGGCAAGGUUAUUAGGGGUCUAGACCAAGGGAUACUUGGAGGCGAAGGAGUUCCUCCUAUGCGAGUAGGCGGGAAGCGUAAACUUCAGAUUCCACCAAAGUUAGCUUAUGGACCAGAGCCUGCAGGAUGCUUUUCCGGUGACUGUAACAUACCUGGAAAUGCAACUUUGCUCUAUGAUAUCAACUUUGUUGAGAUCUACCCAGGAAGUAAUACGAGAUGAGGUCAAUCCCAAGUUCUCUUGGUAAAGGAAGAACAACUAUGUAUAUGAUGUAUAUCACUAGGAUAAUCACAGUGCAGGAACUGAUAUACAGAGCACUGAAGGUUCUUAGAGGCUAAUGUUACUCUGUUUACAUCUGAAGAGCAAGAAUUAUUUGUUGAAUAAGUCCUUCAAAAAUUGGUAUGUUGAGCAAGUUGAAUGUAUAGAAAUAUGUUAGGGAAUGACCCGUGUAUGCUGUGUAGUAGUGAUACACAUUUUUAAAGCUUUAUGUGAUCUGUACUAUCCUGUAAAAGCGAAAGAGAGUUGGUGAAAAGAGUUGGAA